UACGUAGGAUCCAAGCGUUAUCCGGAAUCAUUGGGUUUAAAGGGUCCGUAGGCGGGCUUGUAAGUCAGUGGUGAAAUCUCCCGGCUCAACCGGGAAAUUGCCAUUGAUACUGCUAGUCUUGAAUUAUUGGGAAGUAACUAGAAUAUGUAGUGUAGCGGUGAAAUGCUUAGAGAUUGCAUGGAAUACCAAUUGCGAAGGCAGGUUACUAUCAAUAUAUUGACGCUGAUGGACGAAAGCGUGGGUAGCGAACAGG
rnacentral:rRNA from 1 species